UUGGACAAUGGGCGACAGCCUGAUCCAGCCAUGCCGCGUGUGUGAAGAAGGCCUUCGGGUUGUAAAGCNCUUUUAGCNGGGANGAAGGNCAGUNNGUUAAUACCUUGAUGGUUUGACGGUACCCACAGAAUAAGCACCGGCUAACUUCGUGCCAGCAGCCGCGGUAAUACGAAGGGUGCAAGCGUUAAUCGGAAUUACUGGGCGUAAAGCGCGCGUAGGNGGUUNNUUAAGUCAGAUGUGAAAUCCCCGGGCUCAACCUGGGAACUGCAUUCGAAACUGCCANGACUAGAGUGUGGUAGAGGGUGGUGGAAUUCCAGGUGUAGCGGUGAAAUGCGUAGAUAUANGGAGGAACACCAGUGGCGAAGGCGGCCCCCUGGACCAAUACUGAC
rnacentral:rRNA from 1 species